rnacentral:rRNA from 1 species
CACGUAGGCACCAAGCGUUAUCCGGAUUUAUUGGGCGUAAAGAGCUCGUAGGCGGUUUGGUAAGUCGGGUGUGAAAACUCUGGGCUCAACCCAGAGAGGCCACUCGAUACUGCUAUGACUAGAGUACGGUAGGGGAGCGGGGAAUUCCUGGUGUAGCGGUGAAAUGCGCAGAUAUCAGGAGGAACACCAGCGGCGAAGGCGCCGCUCUGGGCCGUAACUGACGCUGAGGAGCGAAAGCAUGGGUAGCAAACAGG